UGUUUUCAAAACAGUUUAUUUUAUUUAUUCUUUUUUUUUUUGUUAUCAGACAAACACAUUGAUUUCUGGACCACAGUAGAGGAUGGAAACCUUUCACAAACUUAUUUAUUUUGAAAAUACAAAUAUAAAAUUAUACUUUCCACAUCUAUGAUGUGAGAGACCCCCAUCCACAUAGUAAAUUACAUCAAGGCUUCGGGAAGCCGUACACAAAGACCUGAAAGAUGCGAUGCUUGAGAGAUAUAUAUAUAUAUAGAUACAUACAUAUGUAUAUAUAUAAAAAAAUAGUCACUACCAAAGUUCUCAUCAGUUCAUACUAAAGUAUAAAAGUAAGGGCUAGGUCUGCCACAGUGCCAUUAAGGUUAAUUUGUGUUCAGAUACGUAAAACCACCAACGAUGCUUACAUUGGCUUUACGUGAAAAACUCCAAAUCUAGAACUCACAAGAUACAUUAAAUCCUAGAUUUGACAGCACACCUCCAUUCCAGAAGAGGCACACAGAUCUUGCACUGGUUGCUUUGUGCAGUAUACAGUAAGCAUUGGUGACUUUUUUUUUCUUUUUAAAUUUUAUUUUCUAUCUACCCUGUUAGAUCAAGAAUAAAAUAAGAAGAAGAUACUAAAAAUAAAUGGAACUCAAAAAUUGAAAAUCUUCUGAAAAACAGUACAUUCUGAUUGUUCAGUGAUAUACGCGCAGAUCAAGUGGGCAACUUGGGUGUCUACUGUAAUUCUUUUCUUCAAUAGCCUAUUGAUUUCUUUCAGUUAUUUUUGGUAAAACUCAUUACAGUAUUUUGUAGUAUUGCUUAACAUACAGAACUAUUGUAGUGUUUACACAUGUCAAAAUUUGAACACUCAUGAAUACUUGUACAAUGUUCAUAGCAUGACCUUAUGAAACUACCAGUGUAUCUCAGUAGAGCUUCAUUCUAUUAGUGCUAAAACAGACGUGUCAAGGUCCUUAAAACCAAAUACAAGAUGUGUAACAAGCAUGAUAAAAUCAUCUUUUCAAGUUAAUUACAAGUUAGUGUUUUUUGUAAACAAUUGUACAUCACACAAAGGAUGGAUGAUUUCAUUAACAAUGUAAUAAACUAUAUUGCUUUAGUCUUGAUCAUGUGUAUGGCAAACAUUUAAAACAUCGGUGUGGCUAUGUCCCUAGCCCUCAUUCACACUUAAAGGUACAUAGAAUUGACAUUUAAAAAAUAAAAACCUGAAACAAAUAAUAAAAAAUUAGAAUAAAGUUCUUACACCUUUCAGGUCGUCAUUACCAACAAUUACCCAAUGAUUGAACUAGUCUAGUACAAUGUGCCUCAUUCAUCAGCUGUAAAUUGCUGUACAAUGAUAAAUAAAAUAACAGCAACAGAGCCAUGCUACCUUAAAGUCCAAGCUACAAGUUCAACUUAACGUGAACAUAGUGGAACCUACAAAACAAAUAGGACAGGAGAGACUUUAUCUUAACCAAGGAGGUUGUGCUCACUUGUGCAUUUUUUUAUAAAGAAUAAAAAACAAGCACUCAAAAUGAGAUGCCUGUACCCUACUGAUCGAAAGAAGGUGAUCUCAAAUGAUUAACUAGAUAUUGUGCUUGAACACAUGACUAUAGAGUAAAGGUAGAAGUGAAUUAACAUUCCAUCAGUUUCCGAAUGUACUAUUUUCAGGGGUUUAAGUUGUUUUUGUACAUAACUGACCUAUAGUAUCAUCUUAAUGUGUUUCUCUACUACUGUGUGCCACACUAAAUGGAAUUUAAUUUAGAAAGUUGAAAAUCUAAGGACAAAUCUCCUUUCUUCUUAAUAAUGUUCUAAAUUGUUGAAGGAGUGCAAGCCUUUGCCAUGUAAUCUGCUAGCCUAUUAAAAUAUUAAUACAUUCUAGUUUUACACAGGAUGCUUAAUAUGUAUGUCUAAGUGUAUUAACAAUUAUUAAGUGAAAUGGGAAUAGUUGUACGUGUUUUUACUUAACAAGGCUUGCAGAACAAGCUUGAAAUAAACUAUUAUGUUGCCAGUACCCAAUAUAAAAUGAAAGUACUUUAUUUAUUUUAUAGCACAUUUGGACUCUAGUGAUAUUAGCAUGAAAUCAUUAUUAACAAGGCACUGCUAGAAAAAGUGAAGAGAUGAUUAAGGCAUACACCUCCAGCGAAAAUAAAUUAUUUUGACAAAUUAUAUUGUGGGUAUAUUUUUUUAAAGAACAUCUGGUCUUAUUUUCCAGAUAGGAUAUAUUUAUAAUCUCUUCUGUAUAGAAUAUAUUAAUAACCUCUACUUUUGUAAAGGGGGACAAUAAAGAUUUAUAUUCCAUAGCUGUAUGCGUGAUUUGUUUAGCUGUGCGUGUUUAGUGAUCACCUGUAUUAUUUUGCUCUUGGCAUUUUUGGACAAUCCUAAAAGACCACUUUUUACAGGUAAGCUGUACUGUAACAGAUUACACAAACUAGGAGGCUCUUCGUAGUGAGUCAGUCUGAACUUUUAUGAUAUUUAUUAGCAGAACUCCUAUGAAAUGUGCAAAGGGACUCUCUAAAAAGACAUCAUGCUCGUGGUGAUGCUGGUUAGUUAAAUAAUCUUUUAACAGUAGGGAAUGUUCAAUCCCACGGAUUACAUGAUCUAAUCAUUCAGCAGUGACUAUUCAAUAUUUCAUUUGUUGGAGGUCGAUAAAAUGAGUACCAUUGAGCUGCGUAAUAAUAACUUUUAUAUCUCUGAACAUAUUUGAAAAUCUCAAUGUAUCACACUUUGAUUAAAAAGGCCUAGCACAAUGCGGUUUGAGUUAACCAACUGUGACCCCAUAAUAUGCUAACACAGGAAUAGCAGAAGGGACUAAGAGACCCACUGACAAAAGGUCUUGUAGAUCAUAUCAGCCAAGUUCAGUGCAGGUCUCUUUCCAGGCUAGAAAUUGAUUAGAAUACAAAAAAGGCUAGGAAUUGAUUAAUGUAAUAAUCAAUACAUGCACACUGUUGGCAUGUGUUUUAAUUUAACAUAUGUGACCAAGAUAUUAUUAUUAUUAUUAUAUGACUGCAAACGUAUGUUCUUGUAAGUGUUGUUUUAAGUGUUCCUAGAAGGCUGCGAGAUAAACUGAAUAUAUAUAUAUAUAUAAAAAAAAUCUAAUAGUUUGCACACAGAAAAAGGUUUCUGCCUAUAGCACUAAAUGUAUUUUUAAUAAAAUACAUAUAGGAUGAAAGGCUUAAAGGACCACUCUAGGCACCCAGACCACUUCAGCUUAAUGAAGUGGUCUGGGUGCCAGGUCCUUCUAGGGUUAACCCAUUUUUUAAUAAACAUAGCAGUUUCAGAGAAACUGCUAUGUUUAUGAAU